GAGGGCGGGCAGCAGCAGCGGGAGCAGGGGCGCCCCGGGCGCCGGGGCCGCUGGGGACGAACGCGGCGGGUCAGGCCCCGAAGCCCGGGCCGCGGUGGCCGCCUCAGGCGCCCGCUCUGGGGUGGGGGUGGGGGCAUCUUUCGGGACCGAACUCGCCGCAGCCUCCCUCUUUGUGCUCCUUUCCCCUGCUGCCCUUCCAGAUGCGCUCUUUCCAGAAAGGCAGCACACGCAUGUCUCUGCCGUGGCCCCAGAUCCUCCCCGCGCCGCCGUUUUGAGCGUUCACACUCAUUACCCAGGUCCGUCUGGGAGACCCGCCGGGCUCCCGCCCUCCCGGCCCGCAGCCUCCUGGCCAAAAUCCUCCCGGGACACCCCACCUGGACUGCUGCGAACGGGCCUCCACCCGCCUCCCCGGACCCGCAGCGCCCCCCGCUCCCUCAGGGUUCUGGGGUGAAGGGGUCUGAAUAGCACCAGGGGAGGCGGCAGGGCGGGCCUGUCCUACCUGCGCCCGAGCACUGCUGAGACGACAUCCCUUCCAGCGCCGCCACGUAGUCCAGCCCCAGCCAGCCGCGGUCCUGGAAGCACCGCAGGCAGACGACCUGCUCCUCACUGGGCUCAGGCAGGGUCACCCGCCCAGUGCCGCUAGCUGCAAAUUGCUUUACAUACAGUGACCCAAAGAGCAAGUCAUUUCAGGGCCCCACCACUCUGAUUGGAAGUCAUAAGCUUGACAACUGAUUGGCCUCUGUCACCCAAGCGGGUGUGGGGACACUAGGCCCGCAGGUGCCACUGGAAGAGGCGUUCAGAAGCACUGCGGUGCUCCAGCUCCUGGAUGCAGAUAUCUCCCCACAAACCUAAACAAUUUCGAGAGGGACUUGUGUUCUGCAACCAGUCACAGAAUAUCAGGUGAGCUGGGCGUGUCUUCACUGACCCACCCGCCCAGGGAUGCUGCACUCCUCUCCACCCUGCUCAGAAUCACUAGAAUGACCGUUCUGUGGCUACAGCCCUAAAAGAGCUACUAAAAAGACCAGAAGUAGUAUGAGAACUUAUGAAUACGAAUAUAAAUAAAGGACAUCUGGAGAACAUGCAUGAAUGUCUAUGUAAAGUGUUAAGUACUGAUCAAGGAGGAACGAAGGAGUCAGGUGGCUCUCAGUCUUUUUGGAGGGACUCGCAGAUCCUCCUGAAGAUCUGAUGAAAGCUGUCAGCCUUCUCCCCAGAAAAAUGCACAUCCACCCAGGAUUCUUCUCCCACAUUACUUCAGAGGACUUAGCAACCCCCUAGGGAAGCCCAGGGACCCAGAGUAAAGCACUCCUGGGAUAGAGGGGUUCUGUGGGGAAGAUGACAGGAAGGAACAUGCGUCAGUUCACAAUGUCAAAGUUUAGGAACAGGCCUGGCGAGCCAGCCAGCUCUGCAGUUCUGUGGUGCUGGUGGGUGUGGAGAAGGCAAUUUCAGCAUAAGUCGGGGGAGGGGGAGUGGUUAGAAACCAGUGGCUCCAUUGUGAGACAACCUGGGUUUAAAUUCUAGGUAUAUU
rnacentral:lncRNA from 1 species